AUUGAACGCUGGCGGCAGGCCUAACACAUGCAAGUCGAACGAGUGGCGGACGGGUGAGUAAUGUAUGGGAAACUGCCUGAUGGAGGGGGCUAACUACUGGAAACGGUAGCUAAUACCGCAUACCAUCAGAUGUGCCCAGAUGGGAUUAGCUAGUUGGUGGGGUAACGGCGCACCAAGGCGACGAUGCCUAGCUGGUCUGUGAGGAUGACCAGCCACACUGGAACUGAGACACGGCCCAGACUCCUACGUGAGGCAGCAGUGGGGAAUAUUGCACAAUGGGCGCAAGCCUGAUGCAGCCAUGCCGCGUGUAUGAAGAAGGCCUUCGGGUUGUAAAGUUCUUUCAGCGGGGAGGCGUUACCCGCAGAAGAAGCAACGGCUAACUCCGUGCCAGCAGCCGCGGUAAUUC
rnacentral:rRNA from 1 species